UGAUAAAUCGAUACACUUGGCUAGGAG
rnacentral:sRNA from 1 species